rnacentral:rRNA from 1 species
CCUACGGGUGGCAGCAGUGGGGAAUAUUGGACAAUGGGGGAAACCCUGAUCCAGCGACGCCGCGUGAGUGAAGAAGUAUUUCGGUACGUAAAGCUCUAUCAGCAGGAAAGAAAAUGACGGUACCUGACUAAGAAGCCCCGGCUAACUACGUGCCAGCAGCCGCGGUAAUACGUAGGGGGCAAGCGUUAUCCGGAUUUACUGGGUGUAAAGGGAGCGCAGACGGCUGUGCAAGUCUGGAGUGAAAGGCGGGGGCCCAACCCCCGGACUGCUAUGGAAACUGUAAAGCUGGAGUGCAGGAGAGGUAAGCGGAAUUCCUGGUGUAGCGGUGAAAGGCGUAGAUAUUAGGAGGAACACCAGUGGCGAAGGCGGAUUAAGGGACUGCAACUGACGUUGAGGCUCGAAAGCGUGGGGAGCAAACAGGAUUAGAUACCCGAGUAGUC